rnacentral:rRNA from 1 species
ACGCGCUGAACUUAAGCAUAUCACUAAGCGCAGGUAAAAGAAAAUAACUAUGAUUUCCUCAGUAGCGGCGAGCGAACCGGAAUUAGCCCAAGAUGAAAAUCGCUGCCUUUCAGGCACGCGAGUUGUAAUCUAGAGAGUAGUCGCUGACAGGUUCCUCUGAAGCCCAAGUGUCUUGGAAUAGACCGCCAGGGAGGGUGAAAGCCCCGUACGGAGUCGGAGGAACGCUAGGCGGCAGCUCAAAGAGUCGAGUUGUUCGGGACUGCAGCUCUAAGUGGGAGGUAGACUUCUCCUAAGGCUAAAUAACUAUGAGAGACCGAUAGCGAACAAGUAAUGUGAAUGAAAGAUGAAAAAUUAAUUCCUUCCGUAAGAACUUUGAAUAAAAAGAGAAUUAAAGAGACCUGAAACCGUUGAGGAGGAAGCGAUAGGAAGUUUUCCAUUUGGCUGGCAGUUCGCUGCCUUUCAAAGCGGUCGUUCGACCUUACUCGCCUCAUAAUCCCCGCUGGGCCAGAGCCUUGGCAUCACUCAGCGGGAGCCUGUGGCGGGUGAGGCCGAGGGACCUUCGAUGUUUUCCUACCGACCCGUCUUGAAACACGGACCAAGGAGUCUAACAUAUACGCGAUUAUGUUGGUGUUUUUGAAACCAAACAUGAGCAAUGAAAGUGAGCGGUGCCAAUCGCAAGAUGCAGCAUCGGCCAGUUGUGAUCCUCUGGAGAAGCGUACUGGCUAUGAGCGUAUCUGUUAGGACCCGAAAGAUGGUGAACUACGCUUGAGUAGGGUGAAGCCAGGGGAAACUCUUGUGGAAGCCCGAAGCGGUACUGACGUGCAAAUCGUUCGUCAAACUUGAGUGUAGGGGCGAAAGACUAAUCGAACCAUCUAGUAGCUGGUUCCCUCCGAAGUUUCUCUCAGGAUAGCAAGGACAGUAAAGCAGUUUUUAUCAAUUAGGUAAAGAAUAAAUGAUUAGAAGAUCCGGGAGUUUUAUUAGUGUUCUCGACUUAGUUCUCAAACUCUAAAUAUUUGUAAUAACUCGGUAUUCCUUAACUGAAGAUCGAGGCAGAAUGCUUGUCCUUAGUGGGCCAUUUUUGGUAAGCAGAACUGGCGAUGAGGGAUGAACCUAACUCCGAGUUAAGGUGCCCAACUGCACGCGCAUCAGAUACCUUAAAGGGUGUGUUGAUUCAUUUAGACAGCAGGACGGUGGCCAUGGAAGUUGGAACCCGCUAAGGAGUGUGUAACAACUCACCUGCCGAAUGAAUUAGCCCCGAAAAUUUUGAUGGCUCUCCAGCGUGCGACCGAUACUCGGACAUUACAGUGAAGAUUUGACUGUAAUGAGUAGGAGAGGGCGUAGGCGUCUUGUUGAAGCUUUGAGCGUGAGCCUGAGUCGAAAGGCGUCUAGUGCAGAUCUUGGUGGUAGUAGCAAUUAUUCAAAUGAGAACUUUGAAGGCCGAAGUGGAGAAGGUUUCCAUGAGAACAGCAAUUGGUCAUGGGUGACUCGGUCCUAAGAUAUUGGUUAACACCCUUGCAAAUGGGCUUCGGCCCGCAAUCGAAGAAGGGAAAAUGAGGUUAAUAUUCCUCAAGCUGGCUAUGGAUGUCACGGUAACGUUUGUGAGCUCGGUGACACCGGCGCGUGCCUCUGGAAGAGUUAUCUUUUCUUUGUUAACAGCCAAGCGACCCUGAAAACGGAUUACCCGGAGAUGAGGGUUGCAAAGCUGGAAUAGUGUAUGUUUUCUUUCUAGACGCAAAUAGAAGCGCUCGCGACGGUCCUUGAAAAUCCGAGUGAGGUAAUUUAUUCCAUACCAGGCCGUACCAACAACCGCAUC